rnacentral:lncRNA from 1 species
AUAUAUAUAUAUACACACACACACACACAUUAUACAAAAUAAUUGUAGUAUAUGUAUUAAGAAAUUGUCUUAAAUUUACAAAAAAAAAAUAUAUUGUGAUAGAAUUGUUUCUGAGUUCCUCUAUAGUCUUCCAUAAAUAGUUAUUGUUUUCUAAAAAUUUUCUUAUAAAAUGUUUUGAAUGAUAACCUAGGAAUCGUAGUACAGAUGAUGUUUGAGAAGAUGGGGAGAGAUUUUAAAAAUAUAUAAACAUAGACCACCCACACACCAAUAUAUAUUCGCAAAAGGAAUAUAAAUACAUUCCUCAUUCUAAAAAUAAUUGCUAAAGUUUAUUUUUUGUUUCUGUUUUAAUGAACAAAAAACUUUCAUUAUUUUGUGUUUUUAUUUUUAGCUGGAAAAAUCUAUUUUUGCUGAAAAUGCACAUGCACAAUCUAUGAACUCACAAAGUGCAUUUAAUUUGUUGCUGAAUCUGAUUAAACAUUUUAAUACUCUAGAAAAGCGCAUAUUCAUAAAUUUCCAGGUUUAUGUAUCUUAUAACAAUUCUAUUCACAGUUAAAAUAUUAUGAUGUAAAAUAUCGGAAAAAUUCAUACUUUUUGAAACUGUUCUGAAGCCACAAAACUCUGGCAUUAAAAUUUUAUUUAUAUCUAUCAUUGAAUAAAAGUAAAUGGAGCCCCUGUCGAUUUUGACAGCUUUUUGAUUGUCUGAACUACUUACUUGUUAAAUUAGAGUGUAAAUGGUUGAGUAUUCCACAGAUGUAUGUACAUAAUUCUCAGGCAGUAUCAGCAUGACAUAAUGUGUGUGACACAGCUCACCUUUUGAAUUACAGGUAUUCUUGCAGUUUCUCUCAACCUAAUUUCGCUCACAAGGUUUGGAUUGACCUGUGACUGUAAGGGGAUAACGAUAUGUGAAAAUACAUCAAUAUCCAGUAGCCACCUCACCCUUAACUAUAUCAAAUACAGAAUUAGAUCAAAGAAAACUACAUAGAAUAUAUAAUUAAAAAUGGAAAGAAGUCUUUUGAGUGAUUCUAGUCUUCUCUAUGAAUGCAAAACAUGGAAGAACAAUUUUAAAAGCCCUUUUUUUGUUUUAAUAUAGGAGUAGUUGAAUCUUGGAUUCCAUAUCAAACAUUUCUGUAGUCAGUUAAAAGGGUUGGGGGGAAAUACUGACCCUUUGCUUAUUGCUUUUGAACUGAUUUAGAUAUCAGCUUCAACUGCAGUCAAUAUUCUUUCCCCUUCGUUUGCAUAUUUUCCUGAAUCAUAUCAUUUAACGCUUCGUCAAUUGAAUUUUAUGAAUCUAUAGAAGAUCUGAAGAGUCUAGUGUCUAGAUAAGAUGCUUUAAGUGCCUCAAAAUAUAUAAAAUUGGAGUAGAUGAUGAUUUUUAUGUGGGGAGUAGGAAUGGAAGUUUAAUCAUUUGAGGUUUUGGUAUCCAAACCUUGGAUAAGUAAAUUAGUUAAAGCAAUAAAAUGAUUUCAGUUACAAUUAGAAAUAUUUCUCUAGAUUUAUUUCAUUGUUUUCUUUUGGUUUUCUCUAUAUUUCUCCUUUUGUCUUUUUUUUCCUUUUUUUUAAAAAUAUUUAUCUUUAGAUGAGCAACAUUUAAAGAAAAUUAUUCCAAAUGAUAAACAUUACUCAAUGGUGCCAUGGAAUGUAGUUUCGGAUAUUGCCUUUUUAAAAAUAAUAGAAAGUUUUGUAAAUAUAAAACGUGUCUGAAAUGGAAUCAGACUUUUGGAUAGUAUAUCUAGCAAAAUGCUCGGAGGCAUUUUUUCUGCCUCUUUACAUUCUGAGUUCAAAUACCACCAAGGUCAACUUUAAUCCUUUCAGGGUUGAUAAAAUAAAGUACUAGUCAUGUACUGGGGUCAAUGUAAUCGACUGGUUCCCCACUGAAAAUUACAGGCCUUGUGCCAAAACUUUAAACAAUUUUUAUUAUUUGUAGACAAAAGUAAAAUUGAUAAAAUGGAAAUCAAAUUAUUGAACACAACUUAGUACUCUACAUGAAAGUACUGGAUAUCUUGUUUACUACGUUUUUAUUAUACAUUUGCAUGUAUAAAACUUUCCUGUAUGUAUAGCAGAAAAACACACACACCUGACAUAAUUUGCUGCUCAUUAUUGUUAAUAUAUUUUUAAAGAUAGAGAGAGAGCUUUAAUCCUUUAGCAUUCAUUUUUAGAAUUAAUUGUUGCGAGAUGCCAGAUCUGGCCAAUUUGACCAUGAAACAGGAAGAAUGUUUUGGCCAAAUAUGGCUGGUUUCGAUGCUAAAGGGUUAACGAAAGUAUACAAUGUCAAAGAAUUCCCAAAAAUAUUGACGCAUUGUAAGUUUUAUUGAUUCGACAACCAGUAAUUGUACUUGGGUUCUUUGAUAUUGUGUACUUCCAAUAAAGUUCUCUCUUUGAAAAUAAUUUGCUGCUUAUUAUUGUUGAUAUAUUUAUGUCAUGAAAAGAAAAAGCCUGCACACUUGCAGUGAUUUAAUAUUGAGCUGCUUCGGAAAAAUUUACUGGAAACUUUUUAAAAGGAAAUAAGCAAUGAGUCUAAAUAAUCAAUUACUAUUGAUAACUUCAUUGAAUUUUGUGUCUUCAAUAAUUGAAUGCAGGCUCUGCACAAUAUAUAAACAUAUUAUUUUGUAAUAAAAUUGUAAAAAUUUGAA